CAGGUAAGUUAAUACUUGUACAUGUACUAUACCAUUGGUAAUAUCUGGUUAUAAAUGUUGUUCACUUAUGUUUAAUUAGUUAAUUUUGAUUCAUAUUGUUCUGGAACUUCGUUGUAACAUGAUGGACAUAUUGCACAUUAAAACUAAGCUGAGGAGUCAAUUCUUUAAUCAGCGACGAUCAUACAUAUAGGAAGGUCAGUGUCCUAAA
rnacentral:lncRNA from 1 species